AUCCUUUUGUUGUUCAUAAGUGUGGUGCUUGGGUUGUCGUGAUUGUUUUGAGAUGUGCCACAUGUAAACCUCCUUACUAUGUCAGCACAUUAUCUGUCGGACU
rfam:Erinaceus europaeus unplaced genomic scaffold scaffold00279, whole genome shotgun sequence